GGAUGAGACUCCCUCGCCUAUUGGUCGCCUCUCACCUGCAAUGCGUCAAAAAUCGGAGCGGGCCACGCUGAGGGGAGGCGGGGAGGAACCUAGCGGCGUGGCCGGGGAGAGCCGAGCGAGAAGAAAGCAGAAGACGGCUAGCUACUGAAUGCCGUUCUAGGAAAGAGGAGGAGUCGUUCACCCCCCGUUUUCAAAAAUGCGCCGAAUCAUUUGCCCAAAUGGGAGAGGGCUCACCAUCCUGGCACUUCUCUCCGCUCCAUCCCGGGAGACAGACGCACCGCCAUCCGGAUGCACUUCGGAGGCACGUUCCCCCAUUGGCACAACGCUCUGGAGCACAAGUCGGUUCAGAAGAAGGCAAGGAUAGGAGGGCUGGGACCGGAUUGAAAGAAAGAGAACAAAAACGGUUUCAAGGAAGCCUUGGCCACACAGCCUGCGCAAGCGACUAGUCCACAAAAAGGAUUCCGUAUUAUAAUUGCACGAUUCUUUCUUGGUGCUCACCGUUCUCGCAGUUCCGGCCGCUGAAGCCCUCCAGGCAGAGGCACUCGUACUCGUUGGGCUCCUUGUUGGCACAGGUGCCCCCGUUUUGGCACGGGGAGUGCGACCCACAAUAGUUCAAAUCUAGACAAAGGAGGGGGAGAUGCGACAACAAUGAGGCCUCCUUGGCUUCAGGAGUGACCAAUACGGGAGGCUUUCUAGAACCAUUGCUACCUUCUGAUCCAGAGAUGAAAAAGAACGACAACUGGAAUACUACUACUAAUAACUAAACACAGCUGUCUAUUCUAAACAAUAUCUGAAAAAUGUGCACCACGAUAAAGGUUCAAACCAUAGAACACAAUAUGUAUAUUAGAGCAUCAUAUACAUAAUAAUGUUAACAAUAAUACAAAUAAUAAUACAACUGAUAACCAAAUUCUGUCAGCUGUAGUGGCAUACAGUCAUAACUUACAAAGAUUUAUAGACUGCAAUCAUCCAAAUUUAAAUGCUACACAGAGCAGUUUUCAGUAUAAAACAUAUAUCAGACAUAUAUCAACAAGACUCCAACUAAAGUUUGUUAGCGACACAGUAUGUGUACAUCCAGUCUCUCCAAAUGCAUGUAAUAUGCUGUAAAACUCAAUAUAUCAGUGUGCAAAUAAAUUGGCUCAAACCUGGCUUGGAGUCAAAACAAAUCCAAGUCUCUGUAGUCUUGGAGCAGUUCUAUAGGACUCCUCUGGAUAUAAAUGCAGUCAGUAGGCUGUAGCUUCAGUUUGUUGACAAUAAAUGGUCAAAUAGAUGUUAUUUUAGAGUAGCUGGCUGUGAGCCGAAGUAAGCUGUUUACAAGCUGUUUACAUAAGCCGUUUACUCCCAGGUUUAUUCCAGUUUCAGUUAACCCUUCAUCUGAUAAGCGGCAAUGUUUUGAAUAUCUGUGUUGUUGGCUCAGCUUCAAGUUUUAUGUUUGCAGUGUCUACGUGCUGAUUGUGGAUUCUAUAGUGCGAGCCUUUCUAGAGCCAUUGCUACCUUCUGAUCCAGAGAUGAAAAAGAACGACGACUGGAAUACUACACCAGGACACAAUGGGGUCAUGGGUUCGAAUCGCGGGAAAAGUGAUUCCACCUAAACAUUAGGAAGAACCUCCUGAUGGUAAGAGUGGAAUAUGGAGUCCAGUGGAGUCUCCUUCUCCGCAGAUUCUUAAGCAGACGCUGCAUGGCCAUCUGUCGGGAGGGAUCGGAUUGUGUCUUAUGGCUGAAGGAGGUUAGACUGGAUGACCUUUGAGGUCCCUUCUAGGCUCUUACCUUUGUCACAGAGAAGUCCCCCCCAGUUGGUCUCGCAGUCGCACUUCCACGGCUCGGUGCAGCUCCCGUGAACACAGCCGGGGAAGAGGAUGCAUUUGUCGCAAAGGGGUCCCGUCCAGCCAUAGUGGCAGCUGGGAAGAAAGCGGGCGUUCAUAACUGGCUGAACGGUUAAUUCAUAAAUAUCCCACCCCUAUAUUGAAAGAUGUUCAGGGUGAUGGGGCACAAUAUCAUAAAAAACACUUCAGCAUAAAAACAUUAUGUAAAAUACUUACUGUAUAUACUUGAGUAUAAGUCUAGUUUUUCAGCCCUUUUUCUUAGACUGAAAAAGCCCCCCUCGGCUUAUACUCGGGUGAGGGUCCUGGUUGGCUUAUAUUUGGGCCAGCUUAUACUCGAGAAUAUAUGGUACAUUGUUUAUUUUGCUCUAUUAUUAUUGGUAUUAUUACAUUUAUUAUUUUUCUCUAUUAUUGUUGCUACUAUUACAUUUAUUUUAGUUUUUAUUAUUAAUAAUACAUUUAUUAUUUCACUCUGAUCUUAUUACUAUUAUUACAUUUAUUAUUUUAUUCUAUUUAUUACUACAUGUAUUAUUCUCCUGUAUUUAUUAUUAUUAUUAUUAUUAUUAUUAUUAUUAUUAUUAUUAUUAUUAUUUUAUUGUAUGACACAGCAAACAAGAUAGAUAUGCUGGAUUUCAUAUCACAAAAUCACAAGUCGAACACUUCCCAAGUGUUUGGGACUGUAAGAUUUAUUUUCGGAUGAUGCAUGCAGAUCCCAGCAGGGUGGCCUUUUGCAGUUGGCAGAUCGUGAUUUUGUCAAUGUCUAUUGUUUCCAAAUGCCGGCUGAGAUCUUUUGGCACGGCACCCAAUGUGCCGAUCACCACCGGGACCACCUGCACUGGUUUCUGCCAGAGUCUUUGCAGUUCAAUUAUUAUUAUUAUUAUUAUUAUUUUAUUGUAUGACACAGCAAACAAGAUAGACAUGCUGGGUUUCGUUUAACAAAAUCACAAGUCGAACACUUCCCAAGUGUCUAGGACUGUGUGAUGUAUUUUCGGAUGAUGCGUGCAGAUCCCAGCAGGGUGGCCUUUUGCAGUUGACAGAUCGUGAUUUUGUCAAUGUCUAUUGUUUCCAAAUGCCGGCUGAGAUCUUUUGGCACGGCACCCAAUGUGCCCAUCACCACCGGGACCACCUGCACUGGUUUCUGCCAGAGUCUUUGAAGUUCAAUCUUGAGGUCCUGAUAGCGGCUGAGUUUUUGCUGUUGUUUUUCGUCAAUGUGACUGUCACCUGGGAUGGCAACAUCAAUGAUCCAAACCUUUUUCUUUUCCACAACUGUGAUGUCUGGUGUGUUGUGUUCCAGAACUUUGUCAGUCUGGAUUCGGAAGUCCCACAGUAUCUUUGUGUGCUCAUUUUCCAAUACUUUUGCAGGUUUGUGAUCCCACCAGUUCUUUGCUGCUGGGAGGUGGUACUUGAGGCAUAAGUUCCAAUGAAUCAAUAAACAAUAAAGUGUCACCAGCCAGAGGCCUAUAAAUAUCUGGGCAUACUACAACUGGACAACAUCAAGCAUGAACAUGUGAAAACUGUGGUCAGCAAAGAAUACACACAAAGGGUCAGAAAAAUUCUCAAAAGCAAGCUCAAUGGAGGCAACACCAUCAAGGCCAUAAACACCUGGGCCAUACCUGUCAUAAGAUAUACUGCUGGCAUCAUAAACUGGACACAGAUGGAACUGGACAAUUUGGACAGAAAAACAAGAAAACUCAUGACCAUUCAUCAUUCCCUGCACCCUCGCAGUGAUGUUGACCGGCUCUAUCUGCCUAGAAGAUCAGGGGGCAGAGGACUCUUGCAAGUAAAACAAGCAGUCAAAGAAGAAGAACAUGCCCUGGCAGAAUAUGUAAAGCAAAGUGAAGAACCUGCUUUGAUUGAAGUCAAAAAUCAGAAACUCCUCAAAGCACAGCAGACAAAAAACCAGUACAAGAAAGCCACACUACAAACUAGAGCUGACAGCUGGCACAACAAAACAUUGCAUGGAAAGUUCCUUGACAAAAUUGAAGGAAAAGCUGACAAGGAGAAGACCUGGCUCUGGCUCACGAAUGGGACCCUGAAGAAGGAGACAGAAGGCCUGAUCCUUGCAGCCCAGGAGCAAGACAUCAGGACAAAGGCAAUUAAGGCCAAGAUCGAAAAAUCAGCUGAUGUCAGGACCCAGGCUGCAGAGCACCAAUAACCAUGCGCAGAGACCAGAAUCUAUCUAAUAUCUUUAUUAAAGAAUUAUAUAAAGUCAAUAAAAACAAGUGAAGAAUAUAGUUCAGAAGCAGACCUUUCAGGAAAGGCCAAAUAUAGUCCAAGAAAAUAAUGUCCAAUAUAAGAUAUUAGAGUUCAAAGUUAUAAUCCAUUAACCGAAACACACACUUUGCCAAGCAGAAGUGUGGGGAGAUGACAAGGUCUUAUAGUCCAUUGAAGGUUGACAACAAGGCUGGAACUUAAGCUUGAUUCUUGGCUGGAUCAAAGACUUGAAACGUGGCAACUUGAAGCAUGAAACAAGGUCCGUGGCAAAACGUGAGACAAGGCAAGACUUGAAACUAGGUCCAGGAAGCAGGGAACAAGGAAUACGAAGUCCAACACACGAUCUCUCUCUCAAGCUGAUCAAUUGACUCCGCAAGGUUCCCCUUGCGGCAAACCCCCUAUAUAGGGUCUUGUUUUCCCGCCAAUAGAACACUUUCCCUGGAGAACAAGAAGCGAAACCCAACUCUGUCCAGAUGCAUGACUCCUUAGAAUUUCCCAAGGGAAGCAGACCUAAUCAGCUAGUUGUUUGGCCGCGAUUCUGAGACUCCGGCGAUUUGCCUCCCUGACUCCUCUAUCUCUAUUAUAAUUGUCCUUUCGGGAAAACGGGGGAGAAUUCUGCCCAAGGCUUGUUUGGGUAACUUCCUGAGGACAAACAUCCUCCAGGUGGAGAGGCUCCGAUUCAAGCUGAACCGGUGGAAAUCCCAUGUUUUCCUCCUCGUCUGCCACAAUAGCACUAGGAACGGGACUACAAGGCCCAUGAGACAUCACAGCUGAUGACCCAAAAUGCAGACUGUGCAAGGAAACCGACAAAACCAUUGAUCAUAUCCUCAGCUGCUGUAAGAAAAUUGCACAGACAGACUACAAACAGAGGCACAACUAUGUGGCCCAAAUGAUUCAUUGGAUUAUUAUUAUUAUUAUUAUUAUUAUUAUUAUUAUUAUUAUUAUAUGUAUUAUUUUACUCUAUUAGUAUUAAAAGGAUACAUAAGCACAUUUACAUUGAAGAAGAUGAGAAUAAUUAUUUGAUCAGAGUUGGACAGUCUUAUCUUAAAUUUAAGCUUUAUGUAAAUAUUCAAAAACAUUCAACCUACUGAUGCCUCAAUUAAUGUAAUUUUAUUGGUAUCUAUUUUUAUUUCUGAAAUUUACCACCUUCAGCUUCUACUGGAGUCAAUGUUUUCCCAGUUUUUUUGUGGUAAAAUUUCGUGCCUCGGCUUAUAUUCGGGUCGGCUUAUACUCGAGUAUAUACGGUAUAUUAAAACGUACCAUAUUAAAACUUU